AACGGCCAUUCGUCCAGUAAGCUUUCGUUUCAAAAGGCGAUUUCGACGGUCACCAAAUACCACCACCACAUACCAUCUCACUAGUGUAAAAACAACACAAGGAAAAAAAGAGCCAAAACCAAAACUAAAUUCACCUCUCUCUCUCUCUCUCUCUCUCUAAACGGUAAAUCUCAAGACUCAAUCCUUUCUGCAUUUGCUUCUUAAUUUUCAUUCAAUCCUCUUUUGUUUACCUGGAAACGGCUGAAAGUAUAAGG
rnacentral:lncRNA from 1 species